rnacentral:rRNA from 1 species
AUUGAACGCUGGCGGCAGGCCUAACACAUGCAAGUCGAGCGAGCGGCGGACGGGUGAGUAAUGUCUGGGAAACUGCCUGAUGGAGGGGGAUAACUCCUGGAAACGGUAGCUAAUACCGCAUACCAUCAGAUUUGCCCAGAUGGGAUUAGCUAGUAGGUGGGGUAAUGGCUCACCUAGGCGACGAUCCCUAGCUGGUCUGAGAGGAUGACCAGCCAAACUGGAACUGAGACACGGUCCAGACUCAUACGGGAGGCAGCAGUGGGGAAUAUUGCACAAUGGGCGAAAGCCUGAUACAGCAAUGCCGCGUGUGUGAAGAAGGCGUGCGGGUUGUAAAGCAAUUUCAGCGGGGAGGCGUUACCCGCAGAAGAAGCACCGGCUAACUCCGUGCCAGCAGCCGCGGUAAUUC